rnacentral:rRNA from 1 species
UGGGGAAUAUUGGACAAUGGGCGCAAGCCUGAUCCAGCCAUGCCGCGUGAGUGAUGAAGGCCCUAGGGUUGUAAAGCUCUUUUGUCCGGGAAGAUAAUGACUGUACCGGAAGAAUAAGCCCCGGCUAACUUCGUGCCAGCAGCCGCGGUAAUACGAAGGGGGCUAGCGUUGCUCGGAAUCACUGGGCGUAAAGGGCGCGUAGGCGGAUCUUUAAGUCGGGGGUGAAAGCCCAGGGCUCAACCCUGGAAUUGCCUUCGAUACUGAAGAUCUCGAGACCGGAAGAGGUAAGUGGAACUGCGAGUGUAGAGGUGAAAUUCGUAGAUAUUCGCAAGAACACCAGUGGCGAAGGCGGCUUACUGGUCCGGUUCUGACGCUGAGGCGCGAAAGCGUGGGGAGCAAACA